AUUGAACGCUGGCGGCAGGCCUAACACAUGCAAGUCGAGCGGAGCGGCGGACGGGUGAGUAAUGCCUAGGCAUCUGACUGGUAGUGGGGGAUAACGUCCGGAAACGGGCGCUAAUCUCGCAUACUAUCAGAUGAGUCUACGUCGGAGUAGCUAGUUGGUGGGGUAAGGGCCUACCAAGGCGACGCUCCGUACCUGGUCUGAGAGGAUGAUCAGUCACACUGGAACUGAGACACGGUCCAGACUCCUACGGGAGGCAUCAGGGGGGAAUAUUGGACAAUGGGCGAAAGCCUGAUGCAGCCAUGCCGCGUGUGUGAAGAAGGUCUUCGGAUUGUAAAGCACUUUAAGUUGGGAGGCGUUACCAACAGAAUAAGCACCGGCUAACUUCGUGCCAGCAGCCGCGGUAAUAC
rnacentral:rRNA from 1 species